rnacentral:rRNA from 1 species
GACGAACGCUGGCGGCGUGCUUAACACAUGCAAGUCGAACGGAAAGGCCCUGCUUUUGUGGGGUGCUCGAGUGGCGAACGGGUGAGUAACACGUGAGUAACCUGCCCUUGACUUUGGGAUAACUUCAGGAAACUGGGUCUAAUACCGGAUAGGAGCUCCUGCUGCAUGGUGGGUGUUGGAAAGUUUCGGCGGUUGGGGAUGGACUCGCGGCUUAUCAGCUUGUUGGUGGGGUAGUGGCUUACCAAGGCUUUGACGGGUAGCCGGCCUGAGAGGGUGACCGGCCACAUUGGGACUGAGAUACGGCCCAGACUCCUACGGGAGGCAGCAGUGGGGAAUAUUGCACAAUGGGCGGAAGCCUGAUGCAGCAACGCCGCGUGCGGGAUGACGGCCUUCGGGUUGUAAACCGCUUUCGCCUGGGACGAAGCGUGAGUGACGGUAAUGGGUAAAGAAGCACCGGCUAACUACGUG